rnacentral:rRNA from 1 species
UACGUAGGUGGCAAGCGUUGUCCGGAUUUAUUGGGCGUAAAGAGCUCGUAGGCGGUUCGGUAAGUCGGAUGUGAAAACUCAGGGCUCAACCCGGAGACGCCAUCCGAUACUGCUGUGACUCGAGUCUGGUAGGGGAACACGGAAUUCCUGGUGUAGCGGUGAAAUGCGCAGAUAUCAGGAAGAACACCCGUGGCUAAGGCGGUUCUCUAGUACGGUACUGACGCUGAGACGCGAAAGCGUGGGGAGCGAACAGG